rnacentral:rRNA from 1 species
UACGAAGGGUGCAAGCGUUAAUCGGAAUUACUGGGCGUAAAGGGUGCGUAGGCGGUUGUUUAAGUCUGCUGUGAAAGUCCAGGGCUCAACCCUGGGAUGCCGGUGGAUACUGCUGAACUAGAGUGCGGAAGAGGCGAGUGGAAUUCCCGGUGUAGCGGUGAAAUGCGCAGAUAUCGGGAGGAACACCAAUUGCGAAGGCAGCUCGCUGGGACGUUACUGACGCUGAGACGCGAAAGCGUGGGGAGCAAACAGG